UACGAAGGGGGCUAGCGUUGCUCGGAAUCACUGGGCGUAAAGCGCACGUAGGCGGGUCUUUAAGUCCGGGGUGAAAUCCUGGAGCUCAACUCCAGAACUGCCUUUGAUACUGAAGAUCUCGAGUUCGGGAGAGGUGAGUGGAACUGCGAGUGUAGAGGUGAAAUUCGUAGAUAUUCGCAAGAACACCAGUGGCGAAGGCGGCUCACUGGCCCGGUACUGACGCUGAGGUGCGAAAGCGUGGGGAGCAAACAGG
rnacentral:rRNA from 1 species